GUUCUCCUCCAUAGGCAGCAAAAAAUCCUAACGAUCUGAGAUCAAUCCCACCAUAAAUAAAUAGCAAAACCUUGGAAAAAAAGGGCACCGAAUAUCUCCAAAUCUCCCAAAUUAGCCAAGAAAUGUCGUCAAUUUAGCCCCCACAUUUAGGGAUAAACCCUAUAAUUUCACGCUAUCUAUGUAUAUUCCGGCGUAGAGAGUUGAUUUCCACGCCAAUUUUAUCGGAUGCCUAUAAAGGAACAAACCAGUAUAAUCCCUGCGUGAUCUUUACGAGAUUUUGUUUUCCCGGAAACUAGAGAGGAAAGUGAGAGAAAAUGCAUUCAAUGAGUCUCAAAGUUUUGACUGAUUUUUAUGGGGGCGCAUGGAGGGAUUUGCCCGGUCGAGGAAGCCCAGGGCUUUCCGAUUUUGAUACGGGGAUAAGGAGAGUGCGAGUGAAUUUCGGGGACUUCACGAGGAAUUGUCGCAUUGUAGCUUGUUCAUCGGAGAGGAAGGGCAAUGGUGGAGGCCAGAGUCAGAGUUCGAAUUCGAGUCCGAGUUCGUUUUUGUCUCGCAGCCAAAGUUAUGCCCUUCUGAAGCAGCAAAUGGAUGUUGCGGCCAAAUCCGAGGAUUACAAGGAAGCUGCAAGAAUUCGAGACUCGCUGAGGUCGUUUGAGGAAGAAGAGCCUGUUCUGCGGCUUCGAAGGUUGUUGAAAGAGGCAAUUGCUGAUGAAAGGUUUCAGGAUGCAGCCAGAUAUCGCGAUGAGCUAAAGGAAAUUGCGCCAUACUCUUUGUUAAAAUGUUCAAGUGAUGCAACAACACUGGGAAUAAGAGUUCAAGUGAGGAGUGUGUAUAUUGAAGGCCGAAGUCAACCUUCAAAAGGGCAGUAUUUCUAUGCAUACAGAAUAAGAAUCACAAAUAAUUCAGAUCGCCCUGUUCAAUUGCUCAGAAGACAUUGGAUUAUCACUGAUGCUAAUGGAAAAUCUGAAAAUGUCUGGGGGGUUGGGGUUAUUGGUGAGCAGCCAGUAAUACUUCCUAGAACGGGUUUUGAAUAUUCAUCAGCAUGCCCCUUAAGCACUCCCAGCGGCAGAAUGGUGGACCUUUACAUUAGUCACCUCUUGCUUUGGGAGUCGGUGGCGACAAGGUUGAUAAUGCAGAAGUAGAUGCUGAGCAAGGAACUUCUGUAGCUCCUGCACAUUGCCAAGCAGCAGGGAAAUGGGCUUAUCUCUUUCAAAUAAUUUUCCAGGUAUUUCUUGCGGUGCUUAGAAUUGAAUAGCUUUUUGUAUAUGUAUUUUUUUGGAAUAAGAACAUUUCUGUGUUCAAAUCCUUCCUCGUCUAUGCUUUGUAUGAAUCCUCCUAAAGGAAACUGUGUUUACAUGUCAGUAUCUGAUUAAGUGAACAUGUUAAGAGUCUAUAGAUAAACAAGUAAGAUUUGGAUUCACUGAGUUCGAAGAGUUAGGCUCAUUCCAUCCAUGAACUCUGUUCUUGUUCCGCCAGAAUGAGUGAUUAGAUUUAGAUGAACCGGGGAGGAAGCAGAAUGUUGCUCUAAUUGUUUUAUCUAGAUUUAUUAACAGACAGGAAGCUUUCUGUUUUGACAAUUUUUCUCUCAAAAUUUUGCAACAGAUGAAUGCAAGGGCUGUUAUGCUUAAUGGUUGCUUGUUUUGGUUUAUACUUGUUCUGUUCUUUGAAAAUAAAGAUUACAAUAUCAAUCCUUUAAGUAUUACAUGCUGCUUCAGGUUCUAAUUGCGAGCUACAUUUCAGAGUCGGGUAGUCAAUUGGAUACUGUAAAGCAUAUCUCCCUUUUUGAGCUUCCAUUUUAAGAUAAAUCAAACAACAUAGCUCAUUGAAUUCACCGACUUUGUGGAAGUGUCGGCCUUCCAUCGAUCUUACGUAAGAUCUCGAUUUUGACAAUCUUGAUUGUAUGUAUGCAUUCACUCAAUGCUGUCUUCCUGAUUGGCGAUACUGCUCUAAAUUGUUUGCGUUUCCCCUGGUUUCAGAUUGCGUUCUUCCACCUGUCAACAAUAGCCUACAUUAUAUUUUAGUGGCUUGGUCCUUGUUAAUGUGAAAAUAUGGUGGCCGCAUCUCUUUCUUUUGUCAGAUCCAUUUUCUCGAUUAUGGUACUUCGCCGUCUCGUCAUGAUGCAUCUCCUAUGCUAAAGAAUUUUUCGUUCUGCUCACAAGGCUGAAACACAUUGUAUUCGAGAUGGUUCCCCGAUUCCCAUUUGUCUUCGAGAUAGCGUCAGGUGCAUAACCAGUUUCCAAGGCUCGAUUAGAACACUGUAAGUUUUCUCACGGAUGGGGUAGCUACAGAGUAGAUGAUGAGAGCAAUAAAUUUACAACAAAACGUAGAAAACUACGGAAUACAUAUUAACAUACUGUAAAGAAAUUGUUAUAGCAAGUUGUUUUUGUGAAGAUUUAUAAAUGUUGAAGAAUUACUUAAUAGCAGUGAAUGCCUUGUCUA